CCACGAGUCGACUUAACCUUAAAUGUGUCACACUCCUUCGACUUCCCCUUCUCCUUUAUAAUUUUCUUUCUUUUUUUAUCUUUCUAUUCUCUCUCUCUUUCUCUCUCUCUCUCUCUCUCUUUCUCUCCCUCUCUCUCCCUCUCUCUCUCUCCCUCUCGUUAUCCACUUCUCGUCUUUUUUCUUCUUAGUGACGCUCCCUCAGUUAACCAAUUGCUGACUCGUUUUAAAUGGUUGUGUACAUGUAUGUACAUCCUGUGUAUGCAUACUUUAUUCUCGUGCGAACAAAACAUUUCUAUUAUCGUCCCCUCGUUCGGCAAUCACGUAAAAGAAAAAAUAUCUUAUAUAUUGCAAAGGAUCAAGGAUCUCGUUGAGCUGCCAGUCAUCCUCGACUACGAGAUCGUCUACGUCCUUGGAUCGACUAAAGGAAAACGAGCGAAGUAAGGAUCUCCUUAGGCGGUGAACGAAGAUGGUGGGACUCCUUGACAAUGGUGGGUCAUGGGAGAGUGGCGAGCUAUACUCCCACGCGUCCGUUUACCACUAUCCAGAUCAGCUAUACAACCGAUUUCGACCUUGCCUACUGACCUUAUUUAAAUAUUUCUACAGUAUCGCAUAUAUUUCAAAUUACAUUACGUGCGAUUCUCAAUAAUUCUCGAAACCUACAUAUUGUUUAUUAAAUUCAUUAAAAGAAAA